rnacentral:rRNA from 1 species
CGCAUCUGUGCAUGCAGCAUAUCAAUAAGCGGAGGAAAAGAAACUAAUAAGGAUUCCCUUAGUAACGGCGAGUGAAGCGGGAAGAGCUCAAAUUUGAAAUCUUCAAGGUUUUACCUUGACGAAUUGUAGUUUAAAGAAGUGUUUUCUGUUGAAGUUUUGGUAAAAGUUCUUUGGAAUAGGACAUCAUAGGAGGGUGAGAAUCCCGUAUCUGACCACUAUUUUCAGCUGUGUGAUACACUUUCAAAGAGUCGGAUUGUUUGGGAAUGCAGUCCAAAAUGGGUGGUAAAUUUCAUCUAAAGCUAAAUAUCGGCGUAGAGACCGAUAGCGAACAAGUACCGUGAGGGAAAGAUGAAAAGAACUUUGAAAAGAGAGUUAAACAGUACGUGAAAUUGUCAAAAGGGAAGCGUUUGACACCAGUGUUGUUUUCUCGAAAAUCAAUUAAAAAGAGUUUAGAUUUUGUUGUGUAUUGACCUUAACAGCUUGCAUUUCAAUUUUCUUGCUUUUUUUAAUGCACUUUUCGUUUAACAAGUCAACAUCAGUUUCUUUUGUUGUAAAAAGGUCAUUGGAAGGUGGCUUUCUUUUCGGAGAAAGUGUUUAUAGCCCUUGACUCCUGCAAUCGGAGAGACUGAGGUCUGCAGCGUAGAUCCUUCGGGGUUAGAUACAUUUGUGCUAAGUUAUAGCUUUUUAUAGACGACUUGUUGACUAUGAUUAGUCUUGUAGCUUACUCGCUUAUGCUAUUUUACCUACGCUUAGGAUGUUGAUGUGAUACUGCGAGC